UACGUAGGGGGCUAGCGUUGUCCGGAAUCAUUGGGCGUAAAGAGCGUGUAGGCGGCCCGGUAAGUCCGCUGUGAAAGUCGGGGGCUCAACCCUCGAAUGCCGGUGGAUACUGUCGGGCUAGAGUGCGGAAGAGGCGAGUGGAAUUCCUGGUGUAGCGGUGAAAUGCGCAGAUAUCAGGAGGAACACCAAUUGCGAAGGCAGCUCGCUGGGACGUAACUGACGCUGAGACGCGGAAGCGUGGGGAGCAAACAGG
rnacentral:rRNA from 1 species